rnacentral:lncRNA from 1 species
CUAUUAUUCAGAAUUCAGACAAGCUUUUCCGGCGCCCUUACUACGUCUACCACCCACAUCAUUACUCUGAGCCUUACCCAAUUUCGUCUAAUGGCAUCUUGAUCAGGUAAACUCCGGUCUACUGUUUUUGUCCAUUUUUUCUUAAUUUAAAGAUUCAGUUCUUCUGAUAUUUGUUUCUUUAUGUCAUUUUGAGAAGGAAUAAUUGCUUCCUUGAGUCGAAAUCCAAAUAUUUUACUGCUGAAAGCCAGUAACUGUAUACUAUGUUUAGAGGUUCAAGAUUUUGACUUAUCUUAGUUUUUUAUCUUUUCAUGAUUGUAAAUUGCUUUUCGAGUGAUGUUGUGUCUUUUUUUUAUUUCUCAGAUAGUGUUUGAGAAUUUUUGCUUGAAUAGUAAUUGAGAAAUUUACACCCAGUUACCCCUUUUCUUUCAUUUUUUUCCAAAUCUUAUUUUCUAUUGCGCAAUCUUUUUCAUUCUUUUUCAACAACGCAUUUUUCAAAAAAAUAUUAUUCCAAACAUUAAAAUUUAGAAAAAAUGGGGGCUUAACGGGUGCUUAAUUUCAGUUUUUAUUGGGGUUUGAUCUUUCUUGAAUGGAAGUUGUUUGAUGAGGUCUAGAUUGAUUGAACUCAAAGUGAUGUUUGUGGGUUAUUUCUACAGAACGGCAUAUUAUUUGAGAUUUUUUUUUUUUUUGGGGAGAUAGUGAUUCGGAAAUUUAUGCCCCAUUUGCCCCCAUUCAAUAUCAUCAAAUUAAUUUAAAAUUUUCUCUCUCGUAUUUUUAACACCACAAUCUUCAAUAAAAUAAUAUUACACAUGCAUCGAAAUUUUUUCAUUCUUUUACAACCAUCCAUUUUAUAAAAAAACACUAUUCCCCUGUUAUAAUAAAAAAUAAUAGGGCCCAAAGGGGCUAUAUAAUCCAUUUUACUGGGAUUUGAUACAGGGGCUUUUGAGAGGUUUUGAGAGAAGAGAUUGGAUCAUAUGAAGUGGUUAGUCGAUUCUCUGAGAGGUGAUUCAAAUGUCCAGUGGCUGUUAAAAUUUCCGUGGAUUGACUGAGUUUUGUGAAAGUCUGUUAUCCAUUUGAAUCUGAAAUGAGGCUUAUAUUUUGCUUUCAAGAAUUAUUUGUUCGUUUUAGCUACAUAAGAUAUAUGAAUUAUUUAUUUGUCUGGCAUUUAUGGCAGGUAAAUUGUGGGAAAUCGAGUUUAACUCGAAAUUUUGUUAUUUUCUAGAUUACAAAUAAAAUAAAGAAUGGCUAUAUGGCUGAAGGAGAUGAGGUGAGGACAUUGAAAUUAAGUUCACAAUCUUUGAUGAAAUAGAUAUAGGUCACGGAACCUACUCAUUAUUAUUGACCGUUGCUACUCUUACACAAAUGCCUUUUUCUAAAAGGUUGAAUCCCAACUUUGAGGGCCUCCACCUCACCACCUUUGGAGUAUCGUAAGGGAGGUAAAUCGCUGGAUGUGACCCAUCAGGUCAGGGAACAAGAGUUUGUCCGUACACUGGCGCUCACAAAAAGUCCAAAUGCCUUUUUUUUGAGUGGCCUCAAGGUUGAACUUAAUCUUUAUUAGGCUGCCAUAGUGAUAAGUUUUCACUUCCAAGGAUUCUGACUCAUUUUUUAAGAAAGUUUUACUGCUUUUAAUUAUAAAAUAGAUGACUAUAGUUAAUGAUGUUUCAUGGAGUCAUGUUCUUGUCAUGUGUCUUUCUGUCGUUUUUUUUUUUUAUUAAAGAUACAUGAAAUGGUGCUGUAAUGAAAUUCUUAAAUCUCGACGCUUUGGUGGCUCGUGUAAUUCCUAUGUUUGGAAUGUCAUUUUGUG